rnacentral:rRNA from 1 species
UACAGAGGGUGCGAGCGUUAAUCGGAAUUACUGGGCGUAAAGGGUGCGUAGGCGGUUAAAUAAGUUAGAUGUGAAUCCCCAGGCUUAACCUGGGAACUGCGUUUAAUACUGUAUAACUAGAGUACUGAAGAGGUUAGUGGAAUUUCCAGUGUAGCGGUGAAAUGCGUAGAUAUUGGAAGGAACACCAGUGGCGAAGGCGACUAAUUGGUCAGAUACUGACGCUGAGGCACGAAAGCGUGGGGAGCAAACAGG